GAUGAACGCUGGCGGCGUGCCUAAUACAUGCAAGUCGAGCGAACAGACGAGGAGCUUGCUCCUCUGACGUUAGCGGCGGACGGGUGAGUAACACGUGGAUAACCUACCUAUAAGACUGGGAUAACUUCGGGAAACCGGAGCUAAUACCGGAUAAUAUAUUGAACCGCAUGGUUCAAUAGUGAAAGACGGUUUUGCUGUCACUUAUAGAUGGAUCCGCGCCGCAUUAGCUAGUUGGUAAGGUAACGGCUUACCAAGGCAACGAUGCGUAGCCGACCUGAGAGGGUGAUCGGCCACACAGGAACUGAGACACGGUCCAGACUCCUACGGGAAGCAGCAGUAGGAAAUCUUCCGCAAUGGGCGAAAGCUUGACGGAGCAACGCCGCGUGAGUGAUGAAGGUCUUCGGAUCGUAAAACUCUGUUAUUAGGGAAGAACAAAUGUGUAAGUAACUAUGCACGUCUUGACGGUACCUAAUCAGAAAGCCACGGCUAACUACGUG
rnacentral:rRNA from 1 species